rnacentral:snRNA from 1 species
UCACUCUUGUUUCUCUGCAUCACGCAUAAAUCUUUCGCCUUUUACUAAAGAUUUCCGUGCAGCGGAACACUCAUUGAGUUUAAACUCAAUUUUUCUCAGCCCUUGAGAAUAUCAAGGGU